AAAGUCUUUUCUCCCAUGAAAGCA
rnacentral:siRNA from 1 species